CAUUAUUAGAAUACGCUACGGUUUCGUAUGUGUAGUUUAAAUUUUUUUUCUAAACAUCUAUGCAGUAAAAAUAAAUUAAAAUAAUUAUAAUUUAUAUAUACCAAAUUCAAUCUAAAAAUUGUAGUAUGAAUCUUGAUACGAACAUGUGCCCAUGAUCUGAAAUCUGAAACAAAAAUAAUGGUUAGUAAAAACAAAAUAG
rnacentral:lncRNA from 1 species